rnacentral:rRNA from 1 species
GUCGAGCGCCCCGCAGGGGAGCGGCAGACGGGUGAGUAACGCGUGGGAAUCUACCUUUUGCUACGGAACAACAGUUGGAAACGACUGCUAAUACCGUAUGUGCCCUUCGGGGGAAAGAUUUAUCGGCAAAGGAUGAGCCCGCGUUGGAUUAGCUAGUUGGUGAGGUAAAGGCUCACCAAGGCGACGAUCCAUAGCUGGUCUGAGAGGAUGAUCAGCCACACUGGGACUGAGACACGGCCCAGACUCCUACGGGAGGCAGCAGUGGGGAAUAUUGGACAAUGGGCGCAAGCCUGAUCCAGCCAUGCCGCGUGAGUGAUGAAGGCCCUAGGGUUGUAAAGCUCUUUCACCGGUGAAGAUAAUGACGGUAACCGGAGAAGAAGCCCCGGCUAACUUCGUGCCAGCAGCCGCGGUAAUACGAAGGGGGCUAGCGUUGUUCGGAUUUACUGGGCGUAAAGCGCACGUAGGCGGAUUUUUAAGUCAGGGGUGAAAUCCCGGGGCUCAACCCCGGAACUGCCUUUGAUACUGGAAGUCUUGAGUAUGGUAGAGGUGAGUGGAAUUCCGAGUGUAGAGGUGAAAUUCGUAGAUAUUCGGAGGAACACCAGUGGCGAAGGCGGCUCACUGGACCAUUACUGACGCUGAGGUGCGAAAGCGUGGGGAGCAACAGGAUUAGAACCCUGGUAGUCACGCCGUAACGAUG